GAUGAACGCUGGCGGCGUGCCUAAUACAUGCAAGUCGAGCGAACAGACGAGGAGCUUGCUCCUCUGACGUUAGCGGCGGACGGGUGAGUAACACGUGGAUAACCUACCUAUAAGACUGGUAUAACUUCGGGACACCGGAGCUAAUACCGGAUAAUAUAUUGAACCGCAUGGUUCAAUAGUAAAAGACGGUUUUGCUGUAUCGUAUCGAUGGUUACGCGCCGCAUUGUGUAGUUGGUAAGGUAAAGGCUUACGAAGGGAAGGAUGCGUAGGCGACCUGAGAGGGUGAUCGGCCACCCUGGAACUGAGCCACGGUCCAUACUACUACGGGAGGCAGCAGUAGGGAAUCUUCCGCAGUGGGCGAAAGCCUGACGGAGCAACCCCGCGUGAGUGAUGAAGGUCUUCGGAUCGUAAAACUCUGUUAUUAGGGAAGAACAAAUUUGUAAGUAACUAUGCACGUCUUGACGGUACCUAAUCAGAAAGCCACGGCUAACUACGUG
rnacentral:rRNA from 1 species